rnacentral:rRNA from 1 species
CGGUAAUUCCAGCUCCAAUAGCGUAUACUAAAGUUGUUGCAGUUAAAAAGCUCGUAGUUGGAUUUCUGCGGGGACGGAGCGGCCGGUCGCAACUUGCGACUCGAGCUAGCGCUUUCCCCGCAUCCUGCCGCGAACCGUGCUACCAUUAGUUUGGUGGCGCUGGGGAUCGGCUCGAUUACUUUGAGAAAAAUAGAGUGUUCAAAGCAGGCCACACGCCUUGAAUAAGUUAGCAUGGAAUAAUGACUAAGGACUUUGGUUCUUUUCGUUGGUGUUCGGGACUGAAGUAAUGAUUGAUAGGGACAGUUGGGGCGGUCCGUAUUCCAAAGCGAGAGGUGAAAUUCUUAGACCUUCGGAAGACGAACAGCUGCGAAAGCGUUCCGCAAGGAUGUUCCCUUUGAUCAAGAACGAAAGUUGGGGGAUCGAAGACGAUCAGAUACCGUCGUAGUCUCAACUAUAAACUAUACCAGUUAGGGAUCGGCCAACGUUUAAUUAUUCGACUUGGUCGGCACCUUAUGAGAAAUCAAAGCAUCUGGGUUCCGGGGGGAGUAUGGUCGCAAGGCUGAAACUUAAAGGAAUUGACGGAAGGGCACCACCAGCCGUGGAGCCUGUGGCUUAAUUUGACUCAACACGGGAAAACUUACCAGGUCCGGACAUAGUAAGGAUUGACAGAUUGAUAGCUCUUUCUUGAUUCUGUGGGUGGUGGUGCAUGGCCGUUUUUAGUCGGUGGAUGUGAUCUGUCUGCUUAAUUGCGUUAACGGACGAGACCCCAGCCUGCUAAAUAGCGCGGCCGAGCUUUGCUCGGUGCGAGCUUCUUAGAGGGACCAUGAUGCGCGAUAGCACAAGGAAGUUUGGGGCAACAACAGGUCUGUGAUGCCCUUAGAUGUUCUGGGCCGCACACGGGCUACACUGGCGCCUGCAACGAGCAUAUCAGCUGGCCCGAGAGGGUCUUGGCUAAUCUUUGGAACCGGCGCCGUGCUUGGGAUUGACCAUUGCAAUUGUUGGUCAUGCAACGAGGAAUGCCUUGUAAACGCGAGUCAUCAGCUCGCAUUGAAUACGUCCCUGCUCCUUGUACACACCGCCC